rnacentral:lncRNA from 1 species
GGGGCAGUCCUGGUGCUUGAUAGCUGAGUAAAACUCCUGGGCUACCUGGAGGCUAUCAUGACCCAGCAGAGAAAGUAGUGGUCAUGUCCUGUGAGGACAUCAACAUUUCUGGCAGUUUCUACAGAAACAAGUUAAAGUAUCUAGCCUUCCUCUGCAAGCGGACAAGCACCAACCCUUCCCAAGGACCCUACCAUUUAUGGGUCCCCAGCCACAUCUUUUGGCAGACCACCUGCGGUAGGCUGCCCCACAAGACCAAGCAAGGCUAGGCUGCCCUAGAUCACCUCAAGGUGUUUGAUAGAAUCCCCCUGCCAUAUGACAAGAAAAAGCAGAUGGCGGUUUCUGCCACCCUCGAGGUUGUACGUCCGAAGCCUUGAAGAAAGUUUGCCUACCUGGGGCACUGGGCUCAGAAGGUUGACUGGAAAUACCAGGCAAUGACAGCCACCAUGGGGGAGAAGAGGAAGGUCUAUUAUCAGAAGAUCUGUUACCAGAAGAAAAACAGCUCAUGAGGCUAUAGGAAAAGGCUGAAAAGAACAUAGAGAAGAACAUUGACAAAUACACGAAGGUCCUCAAGGCCCACAGACUCCUAGUC